AGAGUUUGAUCCUGGCUCAGAUUGAACGCUGGCGGCAUGCCUUACACAUGCAAGUCGAACGGUAACGGGCCUUCGGGUGCCGACGAGUGGCGAACGGGUGAGUAAUGCAUCGGAACGUACCUUUCAGUGGGGAUAACGUAGCGAAAGUUACGCUAAUACCGCAUAUUCUGUGAGCAGGAAAGCAGGGGAUCGCAAGACCUUGUGCUGAUUGAGCGGCCGAUGUCAGAUUAGCUAGUUGGUGAGGUAAAGGCUCACCAAGGCGACGAUCUGUAGCGGGUCUGAGAGGAUGAUCCGCCACACUGGAACUGAGACACGGUCCAGACUCCUACGGGAGGCAGCAGUGGGGAAUUUUGGACAAUGGGGGCAACCCUGAUCCAGCCAUGCCGCGUGAGUGAAGAAGGCCUUCGGGUUGUAAAGCUCUUUCGGCCGGGAAGAAAUCGCAUGGGUUAAUACCCUGUGCGGAUGACGGUACCGGCAUAGGAAGCACCGGCUAACUACGUG
rnacentral:rRNA from 1 species